CCGCCCCCACAGCGGCCCAACUUGUCUGGAGUUGAGGUCCUGAGCGCCUGGCCCCUGCAACCGGCCAACGGAGAGACCCGCGCCGCCGCCUCGCCUCCGGGAUCCCCCACUCCGCUCCUAUCCGCUCCCGCGACGCGAAAAGUUGGCGAGGAGGCGGCUCCUCAUCCCAGUUAAGCGCGCUCCUAGCCGGUGCGGGGUUCUCGGUCAUAUGCGACGCGGGCGCCUGAGGCGGCGGCUCUGCUGGGUCCUGUGGUACCAGAGUUCCUUCCCCGGGGUCCUCUCACCGGUCGCUGCGAGUACGGGCUCCUGGCCCCGCCUCCCCGUCCCGGAGCGGGGCAAGGGGAGCAGGAGCAGAUGGAGCAGGGGUACAAGACCCGGGGACUUUGGGCGGCGGGAGCGGAGACUCUAGAGCGAGCGUGAGAAGAAGCCACAGGCUGCCCGGAUGGAGGAGCGAGGCUGACAGCGCGGUGGCGGCGCCAGGGACCCCGCUGCAGAGAGGCAGCUCCGCUGUCCAGGCCGCCAGCCGGGUCCUGAUGAAGAAUGCAAAUAUAAUGUGGUCUGGAAGGCAAGAUGCUACUGAAUAAAACAAAGCAUAUGUGGAGAUAUUUGCUGAGCACCUAGUAUGUUCCAGACACUGACUAGGAGGUGUAUGUGAACUGGUACCAAAAGUUAUGAACAUGUGUAUAAGGCAGUAGAAGAUGCCUGUCAUCUGAGGACAGAACUGCUCAAGAAGUAAAUCUUGUUACCCAGGAAGAUGUACAGAAGCUGUCAUUUGCUUUCUCCUUGCUGGCUGCUGAUCCUAAAGAAGUAGUACAGACACCAUGGACACUCACCUUAAGAUACUGCUACUGAGUUAAGUUAUCAGAGCAACAACACCAACAACAACUACAAUCAGGGGCCAAAGGCCAGAAACCAUGGAUAAGAAAGACCACUCCUCCUGCCCAGUCCUCUUCUGUGCUGCUGGGUUUUCUCUGACAGGAAUGCAUGUAUUUCUUCAAGAGCCCUGUAACCAAGAGCACAGGAGUUUUCUUGGAACCAGAGGCAGAAGGCUCCUGCUCCCUUGUGGCUCAUAUUCUCACUCAGCACCCAAGCAUGUCUUUAUUUGGUGAAGUUCACAGCCUUUCCCUUCCUGCCUCAGCAGCUACUGUCCCAGCCUCAGACCCAGUCACGACAAGUGUGGCUGCUAUGUGGAUCAUGUCUCAGGCAAUUCAGAGAGCCUUUCAGAGAAUAAAGCUUUGGAUUUGACUGUGACUUCUGCUAUGACUCUCUCUUUCUCCUAGAAAACUAUUGUGUUGGAUGAAGCAAGAAGGUGCAAGCUGUAAUGCUGUCAUGAAGGCCAAAGGUUGAGGAAGAAGUUGCCAUUUCUCCUUCCUGUUUACCACUCAAGGAUCUAUCUCCUGAAUCCUUUGUAGAGUUAUUGGUAUCCUGACUUUAUACAUAUACCCUGGUAUUUGUGUACAUAUACUGCUGCUCACAGCAUUGAUUUAAAGUUAGUGGUUCUACUACCCUCUAGCUCUAUGACUUGGGCAUUCAGUUCUCUGAGCCUCAACUUUCUCCUCUUUAUGAUGGGAGUAGUCAUGUCUGUCUGCUUGGCUGGUCAAAUAAAAUCUCAGCUUCAUAUAUCUGAUACCUUAGGGUCCCCUACCUGAGUAGGAAGCUUGUGUGUUACUUAACACAGCUUUUGUGCUGAUGAUGACCAUUCCUUCAUCAGCCUCCUGGACAGAUGACCCUCUAGUGUCAGACUGAGCUCUGAAGGAUUGGGAAGCUGCCCUCCUCAGGAGCUCAGAUAGUAAGUUGUUCUUUGUGCUAAUCUCAAACCUGAACCCUCCAGUAACUUUUGCCUGCUGGUUUCUGUCAUCUCUGGAUAACAGGGCAUUUAACCUUAAACUCUUCUGUAUCCUGAAGACUACUGUAAAAAGUACCAUUAUUUUUUAAGCUGGCUAUCAAGUAAUCUUUUCAGCUCCUUUGCCUCCUCUGCUCUUGGAGUUCUGACCUGGAUUGACUGCAUGGAACAGAACAUGGUGCCAGGUGUUCCCGAACAUUCUCAAGGGUCCUUGUAGCAUCGGUAAUAAAACAUUCCCUGAUGACCCUGGAAGCAAGUCUGAUUAUUACUAAUGGUAACUGUCCCCACCCAUAGCGAGUCUGCUCAAAUCCUAGAGCCAUGAUUGGCAAACCAUGUUUCUUAACAUGCUUUAAAUUAUUUUUAACAUGGAAGUAAUUUCCCCCUCUAUUGCAUUGCCAUUUCCUUCUCCAGGGGAUCUUCCCUACCCAGGGAUCAAACCCAGGUGUCCUGUAUUGCAUGUGGAUUCUUUACUGCUGAGCUACCAGGGAAGCCAUGCUUUAUUCUAAAAAAUAAUAAAGAUGCAUUAAAUUUAAUAAUAGAAAAGACCUAGAAAAAAUCUAAAGAAUACUAUGGAACUUAUUUGUUGCCCAUUUACUUUUAAAAAAAUGAAAUAUUUUUAUACCUUACACCUUAGUCAUGUUUCCACAUAAGUGAUUAUAUAUGUGUAAUCGGUGAAAUUAUGUAAUAUUGUUACGUGCCUAUACAUUUUGUUCUUUUAUGGAUCAUUGUAUUGUAUUUUCCCAUGUCAUUAUCAGUUAUUUAUAAGUAUCAUCAUAAUGGUUGCAUCAUAAUAAUGAAUAUAUACUAUAAUUUACUUAAUGAACCCUCUAUGGUAAUCCCUGAUUUGUAGCCAGUUUCCAGGAGCUUCAGAGCUAUUCUCUUUGAGAAAUGGAAUAAGGGAGAAGGCAACACCUCUGGAUUUUCACAGGAGGAUUUUAUUUUCCAAAUGCUGGUGUAAUCCCGUUGCUCUGCUCUACUUUUCCUGUGGGCAGAAUUAACAGGAUAUGGAGAUCAGAUCAGGACUUGGAGAUCAGUUGGAAAGCUAAAAAAGCAGGUUGAUUUGUGCAUAUGUAUUUAUGACUGAGCACAUUAGUGAAUGUGUAUCCUCACUUCGCAAAUUCAAGUUUAAAAUGUUAUACUGAUGAUUUCUGUGAUGAACAGAAUGUUUGGUUUUGUUUCAUUUACUGAUACAAAUGCCGCCCCAGAAGGGCUUGAACUGCCUCUUUCUGCGAUCAAGGAUUUUCCCUUGAUUAAGGAAAUCAAAGAAAUCCAAGGAUCAGAGAAUUACUCUCCUUCAUUGUCAGGAUUGAAUGCAUUUAAAUCCAGAGCUAGAAUCAAAGUAUCACAGAUUUGUCUUCUAUUAACAUAAUUUGGGACUCUCUUGUUUGUUAGAGCAUAGCUCUGGAAGAAGGAAGGCUCUGCUCUCAUAUAAUCACAUCAGUCAUCUGGGAUCAUUGUUUAAGGGGCAGUACCCUCACUUCUCUGCAGACUUGCAGAACCAGUCACCAAGAUAGGGGUACAGGAGUCUUCUUGUUUACAAACUUCCCAAGUGAAUUUUGUCAGGUAAAUUUAAGAAAUGGACUGUGACCCAGCACAGAAAAAGGUAUCUAGGCCAUCAGUUUAGCCUGAAAAAGAAUUGCCUUGCCUCCACACCUGUAUUUCUAACAAGACAUAACAUCUAAGAUAUUGAGCUUUACUUUGGAUUUCAUCUGUGAUUAUCAAAAUCACACGAUUAGGAAGAAGUUUCAUAAACCUAUAGUGAGGGUGGUGAAAGGGGUUUUUUUUUUUUUUUUUUUUCCAAUUAAAACAUCAUUUCUGAAAGAGGCAGCCCACAUCUCCCGAAAGGCACUGCCACUAAUAGAGAACCAGCCGCAUCCCUUCAUCUCGUGCCAAUCCCACCCUUGUGGAAUGGAUAAAAACUAUGUGUUACCACCUAUGGGGACUGGCUGCUUUGAUGCAGUAGCAUAUGGUUGACGGUUGAAACAAAAAUAAAACCAAACAGAAACUUCUGGUUAUUUAGCCCGGGUAGAAUUCUCAAAACUUAUUACAAAAGGUUAAGCUGAGACAGCUUCACUCCAUCUGUGCCGUUUCUCCAGCCCAGAGAAGCGUUGACCUUAUUGGGUCUGGUUGCUAGGAUGCUUCCCACAUGCUGCUCAGAGCUUUAUGAUGUCACAGGUUUCUGAUUGUGCAACUGAAAAACUGCAAGUUGUGUACCACAUGUGCUUAUUAGGAAGGGUGAAAAGUCAAAUUACCAAGAUGAUGUCUUGUUGCUAGUAGUAAGGGUGCUAAUAUCUGGUGGGCAGGUCCUCAUAGUGGUGGGCUGCAGUGAACAGGUUUGAAAGUUCUAUGUUCUUCCCCUUCCAGUGGCAUAAUUUCAACAGUCAGGGAAACCAGGUCUUGAAACCUCUAACUUGGGUCCUAACUCAGGAAAGAGAGUUUAUAGGAAGCAAUAGUGGGCGAGAGAUAUGGCCAGUCUCUUCUACUUUUCACGUUAAAAAAAGUGUUGAGUAUCCUGAGUCUGAGAGUUCUGGGCUACUUGAAAAUAAUAGCUUCUCAUUUCUUUGUUGGGCCACCUGCAAAGAGCAUUCAUGCUUCCUGUUCCCCAAGUAUUGUGAGGCUGUUGGAUUUUUUGGGCGGGAGAUGUCAGUAUCUGGUUCCAGCAGAACAGAAGUCACAGUAAACUGGGAGCAUCCCUCCGUUGAACUUUUGCCUCCUACAGAAAGGCAGAUGAACUCAAGGCGAUUUGUCCAUUGUGUAUGUUUCCUGAAACAUUAAAGAAAUGAGAAGGAAGCUUCUUAAGUGUGUACUGAGUUCUCCUGUGGAGGAGGAAAGAGGCGGGAA